GCUCCUCUAUCCUCUCGCGUGCCUCCCUCUCCUGCGCGGUCGCCCGCCGCAGCGCCGAACCGCCGUCCUCGGCUACCCCAUUCCCGCGCGCGCCAUGGCGCCCUCCAGCUGCGUCGUGCCCGUCGUCCGCCGCCGCCUGGCCCAUUCGCCCGUCUCCUCGCGCGCCCACAGCGCCUCACCGGACCCGGGGAGCACCGCCGUCGCCUGCAGUCGCCGGCGCCCACAGCUCCUUGCCGGACCCGGUCCCCGCGCCCUCCUCCCUCACCUGCGGCCUCCUCCUCGUCGCCCCGCGCCUCCCCGAGAGCCACCUCCGCCUCGACUAGCGCCACCCCUCCGUCGUCCGCUUCUGGCGUCUCCGAUCCUCCUCUGCAUCGACCUCCCCUGCGCCAAGCCCUGCCACCGGCCUACUACCUCGCCUCCUCAACCCGAGCUGGCCAAUAUCCGGCCAUCUUCGACACCUUGGGGUCGCUGGCCAUGGACGCCUCUACUCCAUCGCCGGAUGGCUGCUUCUCCGCGCGCCUCUCUCGCAUUGUUUUGGAUCGACAAGGACGAGUACCACAACUACAACCGGUGUGUGUUUUUUUUGUCAAGUCCGACUACAACAAACGACUACGCGACGAGACGCCAAGUACCACUACGACCGGAGACCUCGGACCCGUCAAGUACCCUUUGGAUGUGCCAAGUUCCACGACGACCCAAGUACCGCGAGAACAUUUGUACCUCUACCGUCGCCGUGGAUCCGACAAGUACCCCUACAACAAGUGUACCUCUACCGCCGUCUUCGGAAUCUCUAAGAACGUCAAGCACCCCUUCGAGAUGACGAGACCGACAAGUUCAAAUGACCCCAAGUACCUCUCCGAAAAUGAGAUGUAUACCGCUAUCGUCGCAAGAAUCGAGACCGACAAGUCCGAAGAUGCAAGUGCCACUCCGAACCAUGUACGACGACCGUCGCAAAGACCCAUGUAACGCAAACGUCAAGUUCAACUACCGUUGCGUGAACCGCUACUUUCCACAACGACCCCGUGAACAACUACUUCCCCUUUGACACAUGUACCCCUACCGCCGAACUCGAUCUGUUCCGAUAAUGCACGCUUCGAAGGUAUAACCUCAA